UACGUAGGGUGCGAGCGUUGUCCGGAAUUAUUGGGCGUAAAGAGCUUGUAGGCGGUUUGUCGCGUCUGCCGUGAAAAUUCGAGGCUCAACCUCGAACUUGCGGUGGGUACGGGCAGACUAGAGUGUGGUAGGGGAGACUGGAAUUCCUGGUGUAGCGGUGAAAUGCGCAGAUAUCAGGAGGAACACCGAUGGCGAAGGCAGGACUCUGGGCCACUACUGACGCUGAGAAGCGAAAGCAUGGGGAGCGAACAGG
rnacentral:rRNA from 1 species